rnacentral:sRNA from 1 species
AUGGCGGGGUGCAGGGGGUCUCUGUGCUGCUGCUGCAGGUGGUGCUGCUGCUGCGGUGAGCGUGAGACCCGCACCCCCGAGGAGCUGACCAUCCUUGGAGAAACACAGGAGGAGGAGGAUGAGAUUCUUCCAAGGAAAGACUAUGAGAGUUUGGAUUAUGAUCGCUGUAUCAAUGACCCUUACCUGGAAGUUUUGGAGACCAUGGAUAAUAAGAAAGGUCGAAGGUAUGAGGCGGUGAAGUGGAUGGUGGUGUUUGCCAUUGGAGUCUGCACUGGCCUGGUGGGUCUCUUUGUGGACUUUUUUGUGCGACUCUUCACCCAACUCAAGUUCGGAGUGGUACAGACAUCAGUGGAGGAGUGCAGCCAGAAAGGCUGCCUCGCUCUGUCUCUCCUUGAACUCCUGGGUUUUAACCUCACCUUUGUCUUCCUGGCAAGCCUCCUUGUUCUCAUUGAGCCGGUGGCAGCAGGUUCUGGGAUACCCGAGGUCAAAUGCUAUCUGAAUGGCGUGAAGGUGCCAGGAAUCGUCCGUCUCCGGACCCUGCUCUGCAAGGUCCUUGGAGUGCUGUUCAGUGUGGCUGGAGGGCUCUUCGUGGGGAAGGAAGGCCCCAUGAUCCACAGUGGUUCAGUGGUGGGAGCUGGCCUCCCUCAGUUUCAGAGCAUCUCCUUACGGAAGAUCCAGUUUAACUUCCCCUAUUUCCGAAGCGACAGGAGCGGCUGCUGGAGUUGCUGCAGCUUUUGGGGCGCCAAUCGGGGGUACCUUGUUCAGUCUAGAGGAGGGUUCGUCCUUCUGGAAUCAAGGGCUCACGUGGAAAGUGCUCUUUUGUUCCAUGUCUGCCACCUUCACCCUCAACUUCUUCCGUUCUGGGAUUCAGUUUGGAAGCUGGGGUUCCUUCCAGCUCCCUGGAUUGCUGAACUUUGGCGAGUUUAA